rnacentral:rRNA from 1 species
GACGAACGCUGGCGGCGUGCCUAAUACAUGCAAGUAGAACGCACAGGAUGCACCGUAGUUUACUACACCGUAUUCUGUGAGUUGCGAACGGGUGAGUAACGCGUAGGUAACCUGCCUGGUAGUGGGGGAUAACUAUUGGAAACGAUAGCUAAUACCGCAUAAGAACAUUUACUGCAUGGUAGAUGUUUAAAAGGUGCAAAAGCAUCACUACCAGAUGGACCUGCGUUGUAUUAGCUAGUUGGUGAGGUAACGGCUCACCAAGGCAACGAUACAUAGCCGACCUGAGAGGGUGAUCGGCCACACUGGGACUGAGACACGGCCCAGACUCCUACGGGAGGCAGCAGUAGGGAAUCUUCGGCAAUGGGGGGAACCCUGACCGAGCAACGCCGCGUGAGUGAAGAAGGUUUUCGGAUCGUAAAGCUCUGUUGUUAAGGAAGAAACGUGUGUGAGAAG